AGGGGUAUGUGGAGGGAAACUGAACAGCAGUUGAAUGUGGUUCAGUCGAUCCUAAGAUAUCGGCUAAUGCCGCUUUCUGAAUUUAAAUGAGAGAGAAGAAUGGUGGAAAAAUUUUUUUAUCAUUCCUUUCGUCAUCACCGAAAGGAAAACAGGUUCAUAUUCACGCACCCUGGCACGGAGAGUGACGUUCACGAUUGUGAAUGUCUAGCGCGGUAAAGCAAGCGAACUCGGAAACGCUGAAUAGAGCUUGAGCCAGAGUUCUCUUUUCUGGUUAAGAAAUGGACUCCCUGGAAACGGUUCAGCCGGCGAUAGGGACGUUAUUUUCGCAAAGGACGGCGGUUCGUGUGGUAUCUUAUUUGGCCCAUGAAAAUCCGAGGGAGGCUAUUUGAAUUUCAUGUCGGAUCGUACCGAUAUCCGCAGCAGGCCUCUAAAGUGAAUAGCCUCUAGUCGAUAUAAUAAUGUAGGUAAGGGAUAUCGGCAAAUUAGAUCUUUAGAAAGGAUUGGCUCUAAGAACUGAGUCGGAUCGGACGUGCUGUUACGUGAAGUAUGCUAUGGUUGAAUCGAAGCAGUGCAAAACUAUUUAUAAACAGAGGGUUCCCGUGGACGUUGACUGUCUCUGAUUUCUGCCCAGCGCUCUGAAUGUAAAAGUGAAGAAAUUCAACGAAGCGCGGGUAAACGACGGGAGUAACUAUGACUCUCUUAAGGUAGCAAAAUGCCUCGUCAUCUAACUAAUGACGCGCAUGAAUGGAUUAACGAGAUUCGCACUGUCCCUAUCUACUAUCUGGCGAAACCACAGCCAAGGGAACGGGCUUGG
rnacentral:ncRNA from 1 species